rnacentral:rRNA from 1 species
CAUUCGAAACUGCUUGUCUUGAGUUUGGGAGAGGAGAGUGGAAUUCUCGGUGUAAGGGUGAAAUCUGUAGAUAUCGAGAGGAACACCAGUGGCGAAAGCGACUCUCUGGACCAAAACUGACGCUGAAAUACGAAAGCUAGGGGAGCAAACAGGAUUAGAUACCCUGGUAGUCCUAGCCGUAAACGAUGAUCACUUGGUGCUGGGUCCUUAGGGCUCAGUGCCGAAGUUAACACAUUAAGUGAUCCACCUGGGGACUACGGCCGCAAGGUUGAAACUCAAAGAAAUUGACGGGGACCCGCACAAGCGGUGGAGCAUGUGGUUUAAUACGACGCUACGCGUGGAACCUUACCAGGGCUUGAAAGGUGCAUGAAAUCCCUGUGAAAGCAGGGACCUCCUUUCCGGGACAUGCAUACAGGUGUUGCAUGGCUGUCGUCAGCUCGUGUCGUGAGAUGUUGGGUUAAGUCCCGCAACGAGCGCAACCAUCAUCCUUAGUUGCCAUCGGUUCGGCCGGGCACUCUAAGGAGACUGCCGGCGAUAAGCUGGAGGAAGGUGGAGAUGACGUCAAGUCAGUACGGCCCUUACGUCCUGGGCUACACACGUGCUACAAUGGUCGGUACAGAGGGCUGCAAAACAGUAAUGUUGAGCUAAUCCUAAAAGCCGGCCUCAGUUCAGAUUGAGGGCUGCAACUCGCCCUCAUGAAGCUGGAAUCGCUAGUAACGGCAUAUCAGCCACGGUGCCGUGAAUACGUUCCCGGGUCUUGUACACACCGCCCGUCAAGUCACCUGAGUUGACUGCACCCGAAGUCGCUGACCUAACCCGCAAGGGGAGGAGGCGCCGAAGGUGUGGUUGGCAAGGAGGACUAAGUCGUAACAAGGUAGCCGUAAAGGGCG